rnacentral:rRNA from 1 species
UGGGGAAUAUUGCACAAUGGGGGGAAACCCUGAUGCAGCGACGUCGCGUGAACGAAGAAGUAUUUCGGUAUGUAAAGUUCUAUCAGCAGGGAAGAUAAUGACGGUACCUGACUAAGAAGCACCGGCUAAAUACGUGCCAGCAGCCGCGGUAAUACGUAUGGUGCAAGCGUUAUCCGGAUUUACUGGGUGUAAAGGGAGCGUAGGCCGUCUUUUAAGCGUGUUGUGAAAUACUGUCGCUCAACGACAGAGGUGCAGCGCGAACUGGGAGACUUGAGUGCGCGGAAUGCAGGCGGAAUUCGUCGUGUAGCGGUGAAUGCUUAGAUAUGACGAAGAACUCCGAUUGCGAAGGCAGCUUGCAGUAGCGUAACUGACGCUGAAGC